GCCUGGGUGGCUUAGUUGGUUAAGCGUCUGACUUUCACUUAGGUCAUGAGCUCGAGGUUGUGGGUUCGAGCCCCACGUUGGGCU